GUUGUGCUUUGUGGUUGCCUUUGGAGCUGCCUCAUUUUGAGGGAUGUUCCUGGGGACUGUCACCAUCCCAGAACCAGCCCUGCUUGGUUCCUGCCUUCCUGCAGCUGCUCCUUGGUGUUUUAUCCCCAGGUACAGAGCAAUUGGGGGAAGAUCCUACAGCCCUUUUGGAGACUUCUCUUCAGCAUCAAGGGUAAAAAUGGAAAAGUGUCUGCUCGCCUGUCCUCCCAGCUCCUUUCCUUCCCGCAGCAAAGAAGCUGAGGGCUUUUCCUCCUUGGAGCCUCAAGCACCAAAAGAAGUGCAAAACAGAAUGAAUCACACAAUCCUUAGGGUUGGAAAAGACCUCCGAGGUCAUUUGGUCCAACCAGCCCCUGCCAAUAGCAGGUCCCUCUCACCUGCCUCUCCCCCCCCAUCUUCGGGAGGUGUUUUUGGAGGCUCCUCCUCCUGCCCUAACAGUUCAGUCCCAGAAAAAUUACAUCCCCUAACGACGGUGCCUGUGAAAUGCUAUGCUUAAUAAAAUGUGUCGCACAUCAAUAAUUUAGCUGCUUGUGACAACACGGCCUGGUAUUCUUGGUAAUUAAAAAUGGAUGAGAUGGCAAA